GACGAACGCUGGCGGCGUGCUUAACACAUGCAAGUCGAACGAAGUGGCGAAAGGGUGAGUAACGCGUAAUCAACCUGCCCUUCAGAGGGGGACAACAGUUGGAAACGACUGCUAAUACCCCAUACUGAAGGAGGGGAUUGCGUCUGAUUAGCUCGUUGGAGGGGUAACGGCCCACCAAGGCGAUGAUCAGUAGCCUGUCUUAGGGGAUGAACGGCCAACUUGGGACUGAGGAAAGGGCCAGGCUCCCACGGGAGGGCGCAGUGGGGAAUUGUCCGACAUGGAGGAAAGGCUUACGGAGCAACGCCGCGUUAGUGAUGACGGCCUUCGGGUUGGAAAGGUCUGUUAAUCGGGGCGCGGUACCGGAAUAGAAAGCCACGGCUAACUACGUGCCAGCCGCCGCGGUAAUAC
rnacentral:rRNA from 1 species